rnacentral:rRNA from 1 species
UACGAAGGGUGCAAGCGUUACUCGGAAUUACUGGGCGUAAAGAGCUCGUAGGCGGCUUGUCACGUCGGAUGUGAAAGCCCCGAGCUUAACUUGGGAACUGCGCUCGAAACUACUUGGCUAGAGUGUGGCAGAGGGAGGUGGAAUUCCACGUGUAGCGGUGAAAUGCGUAGAGAUGUGGAGGAACACCGAUGGCGAAGGCAGCCCUCCUGGGCCAACACUGACGCUCAUGCACGAAAGCGUGGGGAGCAAACAGGAUUAGAA